ACUUUUUUAAUAUAAUUAAUAUAGAUGACUUCCACUCAUCCAAUCCUAUUUUAAACCUAGGAAAAAGUA
rnacentral:tRNA from 1 species